UACGAAGGGUGCAAGCGUUAAUCGGAAUUACUGGGCGUAAAGCGUGCGCAGGCGGUUGUGUAAGUCAGAUGUGAAAUCCCCGGGCUCAACCUGGGAAUUGCAUUUGAGACUGCACGGCUAGAGUGUGUCAGAGGGGGGUAGAAUUCCACGUGUAGCAGUGAAAUGCGUAGAGAUGUGGAGGAAUACCGAUGGCGAAGGCAGCCCCCUGGGAUAACACUGACACUCAGGCACGAAAGCGUGGGGAGCAAACAGG
rnacentral:rRNA from 1 species